GACGAACGCUGGCGGCGUGCUUAACACAUGCAAGUCGAACGGAAAGGCCCUGCUUUUGUGGGGUGCUCGAGUGGCGAACGGGUGAGUAACGCGUGAGUAACCUGCCCUUGACUUUGGGAUAACUUCAGGAAACUGGGGCUAAUACCGGAUAGGAGCUCCUGCUGCAUGGUGGGGGUUGGAAAGUUUCGGCGGUUGGGGAUGGACUCGCGGCUUAUCAGCUUGUUGGUGGGGUAGUGGCUUACCAAGGCUUUGACGGGUAGCCGGCCUGAGAGGGUGACCGGCCACAUUGGGACUGAGAUACGGCCCAGACUCCUACGGGAGGCAGCAGUGGGGAAUAUUGCACAAUGGGCGGAAGCCUGAUGCAGCAACGCCGCGUGCGGGAUGACGGCCUUCGGGUUGUAAACCGCUUUCGCCUGUGACGAAGCGUGAGUGACGGUAAUGGGUAAAGAAGCACCGGCUAACUACGUGCCAGCAGCCGCGGUGAUACGUAGGGUGCGAGCGUUGUCCGGAUUUAUUGGGCGUAAAGGGCUCGUAGGUGGUUGAUCGCGUCGGAAGUGUAAUCUUGGGGCUUAACCCUGAGCGUGCUUUCGAUACGGGUUGACUUGAGGAAGGUAGGGGAGAAUGGAAUUCCUGGUGGAGCGGUGGAAUGCGCAGAUAUCAGGAGGAACACCAGUGGCGAAGGCGGUUCUCUGGGCCUUUCCUGACGCUGAGGAGCGAAAGCGUGGGGAGCGAACAGGCUUAGAUACCCUGGUAGUCCACGCUGUAAACGGUGGGUACUAGGUGUGGGGUCCAUUCCACGGGUUCCGUGCCGUAGCUAACGCUUUAAGUACCCCGCCUGGGGAGUACGGCCGCAAGGCUAAAACUCAAAGGAAUUGACGGGGCCCCGCACAAGCGGCGGAGCAUGCGGAUUAAUUCGAUGCAACGCGUAGAACCUUACCUGGGUUUGACAUGGAUCGGGAGUGCUCAGAGAUGGGUGUGCCUCUUUUGGGGUCGGUUCACAGGUGGUGCAUGGCUGUCGUCAGCUCGUGUCGUGAGAUGCUGGGUUAAGUCCCGCAACGAGCGCAACCCUUGUUCACUGUUGCCAGCACGUUAUGGUGGGGACUCAGUGGAGACCGCCGGGGUCAACUCGGAGGAAGGUGGGGAUGACGUCAAGUCAUCAUGCCCCUUAUGUCCAGGGCUUCACGCAUGCUACAAUGGCUGGUACAGAGAGUGGCGAGCCUGUGAGGGUGAGCGAAUCUCGGAAAGCCGGUCUCAGUUCGGAUUGGGGUCUGCAACUCGACCUCAUGAAGUCGGAGUCGCUAGUAAUCGCAGAUCAGCAACGCUGCGGUGAAUACGUUCCCGGG
rnacentral:rRNA from 1 species